CAAAACCUGCCUUAAGGAUGGGGAUAACAGACGGAAACGACUGCUAAUACCGAAUACGUUCUAAGCAUCGCAUGAUGCAUAGAAGAAAGGGUGGCCUCUACAAGAAAGCUAUCGCCUUAAGAGGGGUUUGCGACUGAUUAGGUAGUUGGUGAGGUAACGGCUCACCAAGCCGACGAUCAGUAGCCGGUCUGAGAGGAUGAACGGCCACACUGGAACUGAGACACGGUCCAG
rnacentral:rRNA from 1 species